rnacentral:lncRNA from 1 species
UGCUCAUAGAAAUUGAUAAUAUACUAUUUUAUAUUCACUCGUUCAAGUGCUGAUCUAUUUUUAAAUUGAAUAUUUAUGUAAGUAUUAUGUAUAACACGAUAUAAAUAAUUUAAGGACAUAAGAAAUUAAAAUUUCAAGUGCCAAUAUUGAUUAUUUUUCCAGUUUUAUUCAAAUAUAUUGAAAUUAAUAUGGAAACAAAAGUUCAUAAAUAUUAGUUUGAAAAGCCAUGUCAGAAGAGUAGGAUUAAAGACAAAGUAUUAAGAGUAAUUGGGCUGUUCCUGAACAAUAUUGAAUAUAAAUAUUCAAAAAUAUGAUAAACUGCAUAUCCUACUAAGUAGAUCAAUACCAAAAUUCCAUUAGAGAAAUAAGUUAAAAUUAUGUUUUACUUGUAUAAUUUUCUUGCUAUUUGUCCACCAUUAUUUGUGACUUAGAAAUUAAAUAGUCAAAAAGAA